rnacentral:lncRNA from 1 species
AAAUUCCAGAUUCCAAAUCUUCCCAGAUGUUAAAUAUCCAGCCUCCCAAUCUCUAAGAAACAUAUUUCAGUUAUUUAUAAGCUACCCAGUUUAAAGCACUUUGUUAUAGAUGCCUGAACAGAAGGAACUCAAGACCAUAUGUGUCUAUUUGAACAGCUAUGUGAUCUUAUAGGUAAAUGGCUGGUGAUGCCAUCUCUGUUUGCAUUUUUAUGAGUUGAUGGUGACAAAGUGUCCUGAGAUAGCUGAAUGAAGCUUUUAUGGACAAGCAGAAUGCCAUUCAUAGUAAAGACAACAGUCAAGGUGGAAUAAAAAAGGAAGCCAAAGAAACAAGCUAGCAGUUGGUGGACUGGGGGGGGGGGUUCCGUUCCCCCAGUCUCCACCUUCACAUGCUGGUAUUUUUUUAACAUGAGAAAUAUAAGAGUUGGUCUUCCCAUGGCAAUAAACUCAACUAACAUGGACCUAUUGGGAGUCCCAGUGACCAAACCACCAACCAAAGAGCAAGCAUGGACUGAACCUGCCCCUCUUCCUCACACAUAUGGAGCAUAUGUGCAGCUAGGUCUUCAUGUGAGUCCCCAACAACUGUAAACGAGCUGUUCCUGAAUUUCUUGCCUGCCUGUGGAUCCUGUUCCCCUAACUGGGCCACUUAGGGUAAUUGUCUGGCCUCAGUGAGAGAGGAGGCACCCAGUUUGGCAGUGACUGAUGUGAGAUGGUGUGUGAUACCCAAGAGGUCCCCCUUCUCAGGGAAGAAGGAGAGAGGUGGGGGAGAAGCUGUGAGAGGGGGCCACUGAGAGAAGAAAAGGGUUAGUAUUGUGAUGCAAAGUGAAUAAAUAAAUUAAUUCAUU